UGCAGAUUGCCUCCUGUGUAUGAAGAGUGAGCGCUCAGAGAGUCCGAAUAAUGCACAAGAGAACUUGGAACAGAAGAAUGAGCUGGAACAACCUGCCCUGCUGUAUUAUCUCAGAGAAUAACACAAGGCUGCCAGCAGCAAAAUUGAAGUUAUUUCAGAUCUUUUUGAAGUUCUAGACUCAAGAGAAAAGUCUAUUUUAAAAUAAGUCACCAGCUGGGAACGAAGUCAUGAAGUUGCAAAGAACCUAUCAAUGCCAACUGAAAUCCAAGGUCAAGUUGUUGACUUCAGUAGAUACCAAAUCCUAAAACGCACAGCGCUACCCCAGUGUUACAGUUUGAGCAGUGUCCUGUACUCUGGUACUUAAGUUUCAGGAUUAACAGAGCCAGCUGAAAGAAAGUGAAAACUCAUUCCUGAGUAGGAACGUACUGUGCGUUAAAGGUGACAGUAGAGACCCAAAAGGAAGAGGGCAACUUCUUCAGCUUUGCCAAAGACAUCUAGGAUUAGAGUACUGAAGUUACACGUGGCAUGGAGUGUCUCUAGGGCA